rnacentral:rRNA from 1 species
CCUACGGGUGGCUGCAGUGGGGAAUAUUGGACAAUGGGCGAAAGCCUGAUCCAGCCAUGCCGCGUGUGUGAAGAAGGCCUUCGGGUUGUAAAGCACUUUCAGUGGGGAAGAAAGCCUUGGGGCUAAUACCCUCGAGGAAGGACAUCACCCACAGAAGAAGCACCGGCUAACUCCGUGCCAGCAGCCGCGGUAAUACGGAGGGUGCGAGCGUUAAUCGGAAUUACUGGGCGUAAAGCGCGCGUAGGCGGUCUGAUAAGCCGGUUGUGAAAGCCCCGGGCCUCAACCUGGGAACGGCAUCCGGAACUGUCAGGCUAGAGUGCAGGAGAGGAAGGUAGAAUUCCCGGUGUAGCGGUGAAAUGCGUAGAGUUCGGGAGGAAUACCAGUGGCGAAGGCGGCCUUCUGGACUGACACUGACGCUGAGGUGCGAAAGCGUGGGUAGCAAACAGGAUUAGAUACCCUUGUAGUC